rnacentral:rRNA from 1 species
GCUUUUAUAUUAAAGGGAUUUGCUUAUUAUCGAUAUAUCUCGUUUUUUAUUAUUUGAUUUAUUUUUGUAUACCAUCAUUUAGAUAAUUUUUAUAAAAUUAAUUAUGAGGAUAAUGUCCUAUAAAUUAGAUCAAGGUGCAGAUAUAGUUAAUAUUAAGUUAAUGACAAUAAUUUAUUAUUAUACGGAAUUUGUUUAAUUAAUUAAAAAUAGGAGGAUUUAAGUGUAAUAGAAGUAGCUUGAAAUUAAGUUAAUAGUGUACACAUCGCCCGCACCUCUC